ensembl:lncRNA SNHG26 small nucleolar RNA host gene 26
CCCUUUUCGGCCGCGGCGCGUGACUGGGCUUGGUGGAGUUUCAAGAUGCUGAUGAACUUAAGUGGUGUUUCCAGUGAAAUCUAUGGCAAGAUGGUUUGGGGUCACUAUCUACAUGAACUGCCAAGUUGGAAAAUCAAAAAUACAUCAAAAUCACUCUUGGGACAUAAGUCACGGAAGUGACUCAUGCACACAAUAAAUACCCAAGAAGCAGGACCAGACGGCAGUUGUGUAUUGGCACGCUCAUCAGUGCUGCAAAAAUUCCCCUUCUGGAUGGCAACAACAAUGCUGUAUCCACAGCAGCAUUUUAAAUCUCACCUCUGAUGUAUCCAUUGUUGUGGGCAUGAGAUGGCAGAAAGUGGGAUAUGGAAAAUGUUGCCGUGCGCCAUUCCGAAUACUACUGUGGCUUCCCUGCAGCAUUACUUUCCAUAUUGGCUGUUUUCCAUUUCAGGAAAGCUUAGGAUGUCCUUGUACUCUACUUUGAAGAAAGGAAUGGAACAGAAGGUGUCUGCAUAACUAAAUGGGGAUCUAGAGAAAGUGGAGACUGCCUCUGGAGCAGGGAGGAUUAUGCCACCAUGACUAGAAGGCCCCCUAAUGGAGUUUAUCUGCACUGCAAGGGGCCAGUUGUCUCAGAAUCAUCCUCCGUUGACAUCUCCAUCUCCAGGACAGCUCCACACUAAUCUGUUUCAAAGACAAAAUCCAGUCUAAUCAGUUUGAUGUAUGUUUCUGGGAAUAGAGCCGAAUGUUGUAGCUGAUGGAAUGGAGUCUCAUACCAUUGAUUUUGCAGCUGGACAAGUGCCCUGCCAUGUUACUGCCACUCUUUAAGGCAGAAUAGAGCACAUUGUAUCAUUUAUAGGCCUCUCACAGUGAGAAAUAUGUGGAACUUUGGAAAUCAGAAUCUAAAACUGCAGUCCAAUGGGGUAGCCACUAUUCACAUGUGCUAUUGAGUACCUAAAAUGUGGCUAGACCAAGUUGACAUGUGCUGAAGGGUGAAAAACACCAGGAGUGAAGAAUUAACUUGAAAAAAAUGUAAACUAUCUCAAUUUUAUAUUGAUUACAAAUUAAAUGAUGUUUUGAA